rnacentral:rRNA from 1 species
AGUGAACGCUGGCGGCAGGCCUAACACAUGCAAGUCGAACGGCAGCACAAGAGAGCUUGCUCUCUGGGUGGCGAGUGGCGGACGGGUGAGGAAUGCAUCGGAAUCUGCCCAUUUGUGGGGGAUAACCUCGGGAAACCGGGACUAAUACCGCAUACGACCUACGGGUGAAAGCAGGGGAUCUUCGGACCUUGCGCAGAUGGAUGAGCCGAUGCCGGAUUAGCUAGUCGGAGGGGUAAAGGCCCACCAAGGCGACGAUCCGUAGCUGGUCUGAGAGGAUGAUCAGCCACACUGGGACUGAGACACGGCCCAGACUCCUACGGGAGGCAGCAGUGGGGAAUAUUGGACAAUGGGCGCAAGCCUGAUCCAGCCAUGCCGCGUGUGUGAAGAAGGCCUUCGGGUUGUAAAGCACUUUUGUUGGGAAAGAAAAGCAGCCGGUUAAUACCCGGUUGUCAUGACGGUACCCAAAGAAUAAGCACCGGCUAACUUCGUG